ACGAACGCUGGCGGCGUGCUUAACACAUGCAAGUCGAACGGGAUCCGGGCUUUCGGGUUUGGUUAGAGUGGCGAACGGGUGAGUAACACGUGAGUAACCUGCCCCCUUCUUUGGGAUAACGUCGGGAAAUCGGCGCUAAUACUGGAUAUUCUUGCUGCAUCGCAUGGUGUGGUUUGGAAAGGGUUUCUGGUGGGGGAUGGGCUCGCGGCCUAUCAGCUUGUUGGUGGGGUGAUGGCCUACCAAGGCUUUGACGGGUAGCCGGCCUGAGAGGGUGUCCGGCCACACUGGGACUGAGACACGGCCCAGACUCCUACGGGAGGCAGCAGUGGGGAAUAUUGCACAAUGGGCGCAAGCCUGAUGCAGCGACGCCGCGUGAGGGAUGACGGCCUUCGGGUUGUAAACCUCUUUCAGUAUGGAACAAGGAUCCUUCUUUUGGGGGGUUUGAGGGUACGUGCAGAAGAAGCGCCGGCUAACUACGUG
rnacentral:rRNA from 1 species